rnacentral:rRNA from 1 species
AUUGAACGCUGGCGGCAGGCCUAACACAUGCAAGUCGAACGGUAACAGGAAGAAGCUUGCUUCUUUGCUGACGAGUGGCGGACGGGUGAGUAAUGUCUGGGAAACUGCCUGAUGGAGGGGGAUAACUACUGGAAACGGUAGCUAAUACCGCGUAACGUCGCAAGACCAAAGAGGGGGACCUUCGGGCCUCUUGCCAUCGGAUGUGCCCAGAUGGGAUUAGCUAGUAGGUGGGGUAACGGCUCACCUAGGCGACGAUCCCUAGCUGGUCUGAGAGGAUGACCAGCCACACUGGAACUGAGACACGGUCCAGACUCCUACGGGAGGCAGCAGUGGGGAAUAUUGCACAAUGGGCGCAAGCCUGAUGCAGCCAUGCCGCGUGUAUGAAGAAGGCCUUCGGGUUGUAAAGUACUUUCAGCGGGGAGGAAGGGAGUAAAGUUAAUACCUUUGCUCGUUGACGUUACCCGCAGAAGAAGCACCGGCUAACUCCGUG